rnacentral:misc_RNA from 1 species
GCAAGGUUCAUGCCAAGUGGUCUCCAGUUUCCACUGCGUGGUAUAGGAUGCUUCCUGAGAUUGUAUUCAAGAGAGAAGUAGAAGGUACUGAAGCAGAAAAGCUUGUGAGUAAAUGCCCAGUCAAGGUCUUUGAUAUUGAAGAUCUAGGACAUGGUCAAAAGAGGGCAGUGGUAGCUAAUCCACGAGCUUGUACCUUGUGUAGAGAAUGCAUUCG